rnacentral:rRNA from 1 species
AAAGAGGUCACACCCGUUCCCAUGCCGAACACGGCCGUUAAGCUCUUUUGCGCCGAUGGUAGUUGGAGGCUUCCUCCUGCGAGAGUAGGACGUUGCCGGGC